CUGUAGAGCAAACGCUGUGGACACAGCAGCAGUUUUAAAAAAGAUUUUAAGAUUAAUUUUUUUGCUCCUCUCACUCUAGCAGUUGAGCUGCCUCACUCUAGCCCCAACAUUCCGUCCCAUACACACCCAUUAUAAACUCUGAAACGGGUGAAAAAACAUCAUGAAACUUAAACUGGAACUGAAGAAAAAGUAUAAUAGAUAUUGAAAAGAUAAAUACAAGUUGAAUAGUUGAAUGUCUUGUCUUCGUUUUAAAGUUUGAAUGGUGGCUCUAUGUCAAUGUAUGUGGAAGUAGUAAGAGUUUAAAAAUGAGUAAGUUGAAUGAGGAUUUGAAGGGUCUCCCCAUUGAAAUACAUGGGAAAUUUUGGGAAAUUUUUGUUGAAUAAAGUUGAAUAAAAUUAAAAAUAUAAAUGUUAAAAAUGAGAAAAAUAGAAGCAGUCAUGUCCAAAAGAAGAGGAAUCUAAUGGUGUUUGAAUGGUUUUUCUAAGUUGAACGGUUUUGAAGGAGUAGGAGUACAAAAAACGUACGGAAUACAGAAUAAAAUAGAAUAAAGAUUAGAAGAACAAUACUGUGAAUGCUUUUCAAGCAUUCACACUAACUAGAAAGUGCAUUUUCUGAAGAAACUGCAGUGUGAAUGCUUGAAUCUGAAUGUAUGCACUGAAAUGAAUUAAUUGCUGAAUUUUGAGUUAAAAAUAUUGAAUGAAAUAAAAACAAAACCAAAAAAAAACCCCGAAUUUAACCUGAAAACAAAGGUGCUGAACUGCUAAAAGCUGAAGGUUACACAGAAGAAGAAGUUGGAAAAAAACUGAAAAUGUUUUAAAUGUAAAUUAGAAAACCCUAAGAAAUGAGAAAAGAACAUUUAGAGUCAGAAAACAUCUGAAUGAAUUUUAAAAGGUCAUAUUCUUUGAAUCACUGAAUGACUAAAAUGUGAUCCCUCCACUUGGACCCACACAGUUUAAAAAGUUUACAUCUCUGAGCUUUGAAAGACAAGAUGUUGGAAAAAGAACAACGAUGGCGACGUUUUGAGGGUAAAAUGAUGGCUUUAACACUGUGGACACAGCAGCAGUUGAAAGAGAAGUGCUUAAGAUGAAUCUUGGCAGAGUGAGAGAGAGAGCUCGUUAAGCAGGCAGGUGUGAGCCUGGUUGCUAUAGUGACCGCACCCAGUGGCUCCAUACACACGUACACAGACAUGCGCCUCACUUUUGCUGCUUAAAAUGAACAGAAAAGUCAGGGCGAAACAAAUCGUUCCCAAAUGAAAAGUAAAAGUCGUAUUGACAAAAUUCUUUCACUGUGAGCGACAGCAAUGUCUAGUCUACCAAAUUCUCAGUUUUCAUGUCUGUGGAGUUUAUUAUAUGGACGUGGUGACAGUGGAAAGACACCAUGCUCUUCUGAUUUUCAAACGAACCUUCUGAGCCAUUUUAACAUUAGAGUCUAUGGAAGAGUUGGAGGGAGGAGGCUGUGCAUUGGUGACAUUUAUGAAAGAACCAUAACACCUAGUACAAUAGUAAACACAUUGGAUGAAAGAGGACAGCGAUGGCUACGUUUUGAGGGUAAAAUCAUACCUGUAGAGCAAACGCUGCAGACACAGCAGCAGUUUUAAAAAAGAUUUUAAGAUUAAUUUUUUUGCUCCUCUCACUCUAGCAGUUGAGCUGUCUCACUCUAGCCCCAACAUUCCGUCCCAUACACACCCAUUAUAAAUUUUGAAAUGGGUGAAAAAACAUCAUGAAACUUAAACUGGAACUGAAGAAAAAGUAUAAUAGAUAUUGAAAAGAUAAAUACAAGUUGAAUAGUUGAAUGUCUUGUCUUCGUUUUAAAGUUUGAAUGGUGGCUCUAUGUCAAUGUAUGUGGAAGUAGUAAGAGUUUAAAAAUGAGUAAGUUGAAUGAGAAUUUGAAGGGUCUCCCCAUUGAAAUACAUUAUAAAUUUUUGUUGAAUAAAGUUGAAUAAAAUUAAAAAUAUAAAUGUUAAAAAUGAGAAAAAUAGAAGCAGUCAUGUCCAAAAUAAUAGGAAUCUAACGAUGUUUGAAUGGUUUUUCUAAGUUGAACGGUUUUGAAGGAGUUAGAUGCCAAAAAACGUACGGAAUAUGGAAUAAUAACUAGAAAGUGCAUUUUCUGAAGAAACUGCAGUGUGAAUGCUUGAAUCUGAAUGUAUGCACUGAAAUGAAUUAAUUGCUGAAUUUUGAGUUAAAAAUAUUGAAUGAGAUUAAAAAAAACAAAAAAAAAAAACGAAUUUAACCUGAAAACAAAGGUGCUGAACUGCUAAAAGCUGAAGGUUACACAGAAGAAGGAGUUGGAAAAAAACUGAAAAUGUUUUAAAUGUAAAUUAGAAAACCCUAAGAAAUGAGAAAAGAACAUUUAGAGUCAGAAAACAUCUGAAUGAAUAUUAAAAGGUCAUAUUCUUUGAAUCACUGAAUGACUCAAAUGUGAUCCCUCCACUUUGAUCCACACAAUUUAAAAAGUUUAAAUGCCUGAGCUUUGAAAGAUACGGUGUUGGAAAGAGAACAAUAAUGGCAACAAUUUGAGGGUAAAAUGAUGGCUGUAAUACUGUGGACACAGCAGCAGUUGAAAGAGAAGUGCUUAAGAUGAAUCUUGGUACAGUGGCAGGCAGAGCUCGUUAAGCAGGCAGGUGUGAGCCUGGUUGCUAUAGUGACCGCACCCAAUGGCUCCAUACACACGUACACAGACAUGCGCCUCACUUUUGCUGCUUAAAAUGAACAGAAAAGUCAGGCCGAAACAAAUCGUUCCCAAAUGAAAAGUAAAAGUCGUAUUGACAAAAUUCUUUCACCGUGAGCGACAGCAAUGUCUAGUCUACCUAAUUCUCAGUUUUCAUGCCUGUGGAGCUUAUUAUAUGGACGUGGUGACAGUGGAAAGACACCAUGCUCUUCUGAUUUUCAAACGAACCUUCUGAGCCAUUUUAACAUUAGAGUCUAUGGAAGAGUUGGAGGGAGGAGGCUGUGCAUUGGUGACAUUUAUGAAAGAACCAUAACACCUAGGACAAUAGUAAACACAUUGGAUGAAAGAGGACAGCGAUGGCUACGUUUUGAGGGUAAAAUGGCGGCUGUAGAGCAAACGCUGCGGACACAGCAGCAGUUUUAAAAAAGAUUUUAAGAUUAAUUUUUUUGCUCCUCUCACUCUAGCAGUUGAGCUCUCUCACUCUAGCCCCAACAUUCCGUCCCAUACACACCCAUUAUAAACUCUGAAACGGGU
ensembl:lncRNA